UACGUAGGCAGCAAGCGUUGUUCGGAUUUACUGGGCGUAAAGGGUGUGUAGGCGGUCCUCUAAGUUUGGUGUGAAAUCUCCCGGCUCAACUGGGAGGGUGCGCCGAAAACUGGAGGGCUAGAGUACUGGAUGGGAGAGUGGAAUUCCUGGUGUAGCGGUGAAAUGCGUAGAUAUCAGGAGGAACACCUGUGGUGUAGACGGCUCUCUGGACAGUAACUGACGCUGAGACACGAAAGCGUGGGUAGCAAACAGG
rnacentral:rRNA from 1 species